UAUUACUUCAAUCAAAAUCAGACUUUACCAUUUUCUUCGUUCUUAACUCACCUUCUCGUUCCAUACAACACAAUAAAGUAGAAUUCCAUUUUCAUGAAGCUGCUUAAGGAUCUUCCCCUACACAGACAUCACAAGGCUUUAUGAACCAAGGGGGUUAGCGCUGCUUUCCCAAGACGAGUUUAUGUGAUUAUGAUCUUCAGGCUUUGCCUAUCCAGGUUGGCUGGCCGGUGCUGACGGGACUGAGCUGAGGCUAAGGUUCAAUUUCUAUAUAGACUUCCGCUGUUGUAAUAACUCUUAUACAUCUUUUGUUUUCUCAACUUAAGAUGACUUCAUGUCGAGCUUCAAUUUAAAAUUUCUAGUUUCAAGUCAUUGAACGUCGGUUGUCAGAAACAUGAAACAAAACUUGUGAUCCAAAGGGGGCCUAGCCCGACUCGUUAUCUUAUUAUUCGGGUUUUAACAAGGUUGUUCCUUGUUUAUUUCUA